rnacentral:rRNA from 1 species
GGCGUCCGAGUUGUAAUUUGUAGAGGAUGCUAUUGGGUUGCCACCGGUCUAAGUUCCUUGGAACAGGACGUCACAGAGGGUGAGAAUCCCGUAUGUGACCGGCCAGGCGCUCUCUGUAUAGCUCCUUCGACGAGUCGGGUUGUUUGGGAAUGCAGCCCUAAAUGGGAGGUAAAUUUCUUCUAAAGCUAAAUACCGGCCAGAGACCGAUAGCGCACAAGUAGAGUGAUCGAAAGAUGAAAAGCACUUUGGAAAGAGAGUUAAAAAGCACGUGAAAUUGUUGAAAGGGAAGCGCUUGCAAUCAGUCUCGACGGCGGCUGUUCGGCCUCUCUUCUGAGWGGUUUAUUCAGUCGCCGCCGGGCCAGCAUCAGUUUCGGCGGCCGGAUAAAGGCGCGGGGAAUGUAGCUCCCUCGGGAGUGUUAUAGCCCCGCGUGCAAUACGGCCCGCCGGGACUGAGGUCCGCGCUUCGGCUAGGAUGCUGGCGAAAUGGUUGUAAGCGGCCCGUCUUGAAACACGGACCAAGGAGUCUAACAUCUACGCGAGUGUUUGGGUGUCAAACCCGUGCGCGCAAUGAAAGUGAACGGAGGUGGGAACCGCAAGGUGCACCAUCGACCGAUCCUGAUGUCUUCGGAUGGAUUUGAGUAAGAGCGUAGCUGUUGGGACCCGAAAGAUGGUGAACUAUGCCUGAAUAGGGUGAAGCCAGAGGAAACUCUGGUGGAGGCUCGCAGCGGUUCUGACG